AAUAAAGAGAGUGAAUGAGAUUUUUAAUAUCGGAGAGCAGAGAAAGAUAAUGUUAAUUUGUGGCCCGAGUUUAUUCCUACGCGUGGGGGGUUUCCAAAAUUGCAAUUGUCCGAACAAGAAGAAGUCGAGGAGUAUCAGUUGCAAAUCCCAGAGCGAGAUUGUGAGUAAAGUAUGCCGCAAUUACAGUCUCAGACUUGUAUCCUUCCUCACAGCGGCUGCAGUAAUAGGUUCAAUUGCAACAGCCGAUGCAAUUUAUGAACAAGAAGAGACUCUAUCAAACAUACCUCAAACUCUAUCCGGUGACUGCAUAUCGGCCCAAGACUGUAAGAAAACUAAAAUACAGAAACCCAAGUCAAGGAAAGCGGAAUCCUGCACGGUUAAGUGUGUUACCACUUGCAUCAGAGGAGGCGAAGGCUCUCCUGGUGAAGGCCCUCUUAAUGUCAGAAGACCACUGGUUGUUUUCAAGCAAGGUUUUCGAACUCGUCACUACUGUUUGGUGGAGUGUUCAGAUAUUUGUAAUUUGAUGAGCAAUGCCGACGACAUGCCUUGAAUUUAUACUUCUAUCCAUUUUUUCUUAGGGAAGCUAUUGAUAUUAAUAAACCUUGUAUAAUCUCUAACACCAUCCUCCAUUUUCAACUUUUGUCACUUGCAACUUGAAGUGAACAGAAGAAUUCAAGCAACUCCAAAGUCAAUUGAGCAUUCAGUUAACUUCAGGAAGGUCCCAUGAAGCUUUUAGGAUCGUUACAUUACAACUGAAGUGCUUGAAGAAGCAUUGGACUUUCUCCAAUAGGUAAGCUUCUUGAAUUUUCAAACUCCAUCACGUGAGCAUCAUUUUUGAUAAUUCUCGAUUAUAUUAUGUUUGUCAUGAUGUAAUGAAUGAAAGCUCUCAAUUGUUUAUCAUUUAUCAUUGUUAUAGGUCAGUUAAUUUUAUUUUGAAAUUUUAGGGUACUUAGAGUUUUUUUGCAAAAUUAAAGAGUCACAUGUUGAAUAAAUUUAUGAGAGUUACUUCGUUGAAUUCGUGUUGCAAUUUUGAACAAGUUUCAAGUUUACAUUAUUUGAAUUGGUUGAGAAAUGAGUGAGUUGCAUUUUCUCAAAAUCCAGGAGCUUGAGGUUGAAGAUGAAGUUCAAAAUUUGAAAUUUUGGACCUGUUUUAAAAUAUAUAUAUUUAAUUGAAUGCAAAACAAGGACAAUAUUUUAUAUUCAAAAAUAUAAAAUUAAAACAGUAAUAAAAUUAUUUAAAAAAAUUAAAAGUUUUUUUAAAAUUAAAAUAUUAAGUUUUUUUUAAAAAAAAUCCACUUAGAUUUAAAAAUUAAAAGAAAAUACCACAUGAUUGCCACAUAGGCUACUAAAGAGAACUUUUGCUGCAAUAUGGUAGUCAAGGGUGUACCUGAAGAAAUCUGAAAAUUACAAGGGAGGGUAAAACAAUUUUACCAGAGAUUAAAAUCAAAUCUCACUAACAUUACGGAGAUAUUUUAUAUAUUUAACCCAUUAAAUUUUAUACUAUUUACUAAAUAAUAUAUACUAAAUAUAUUAAUUACAAAUAAAUUUUAUAACUAUUCUUAAAAUAUAUAACCACUUAAUAUAAAAUACGUAUUCAAUAUAUAACAC